AUGUGCUCUCUAUCCUACACAUUUCACCGUCAUUUUUUUUUUUUUUUUGACCUCAUGACUUCAAUUAUUCUGCAACAAUCACUGCAGAUAUCAGUCACAAAUAUAUUUUCAUCAGAUAUAUCAAUCUUCCCUAAGAUUGUAAUUAAAAAAUUAAGAUAUAGCAACUAAAUCCAUUUCAAUAUUUUGCAUGACUACUGUUCAAAUAUUGCAGUUACUUAUUUUGCAGAAGGUAUAAUCAAUUGAAGCAGUGAUGCAGCUCUGAGGACAGCAGCAAACCCAGGUGCACCAAGGUGAAGACUACACUAUUAAGCAACAUGAAAUACCUGAAGAGCCCUCCAAUGAGGUAAAAAAUGGGAGUAACUUCAAGAGAUAAACACAUCCUUCUGCCUCUAUCUGUUAUCCAACCAAGAGUGAAAUCAGCACCAGCGGGAACAGAUGGCCAAGGUGAAGGUGGUCUUCCAGAUGUACUAUGAAACACGACAAAUUUGUCCAAGAGAGCAGAUCAAACGCUGUAGACUCUUGCAAAUAAUUUGUACACAUGGGCAGUUAAAGAUUAAUAUUUUCUGACCACUGCAAUCUAAAUCAAAUGUUUUCUAGCAAUGUUUUGUAAAUACCUGACCAGCAUAUAAUGAAUGCUUAACCAUGAUGUGUAGGAUCACUUAAGCACUCUGUAGCAAUAUGAGAGAGAGAGAGAGAGAGAGAGAGAGAGAGAGAGAGAGAGAGAGAGAGAGAGAGAGAGAGAGAGAGAGAGAGAGAGAGAGAGAGAGAGAGAGAGAGAGAGAA